ACUACAAANCAAGCUUCGCUAAGUGCUCUCAAACACUUGAUUUUGUCUGAUAAGAAUCUUCCAGGUAAGAAAAGUUUGUAUAUAAGAUUGGGAUGCUGAGGGGAUUGGCCAGAUAUUAAACGUCCUGGCUGGGAUCCAUCGACCGGAUCUGAUGCAUCGUCUCCCCUAUCAUAGUAUCAAUCCCUCCGAGUACGCAAUUCGGUAAUGCAGCGUCAUUUUUGUCUCUUCCAGAUUGUUUUGUCAAUGUGUCUUGUUUCCCUCAGGUUCAUAAAUUUGCUCUUCUAUACCAAGGCACUGUAUCAUAUAUUGUUAUGUACAUUCCAUGUUGAUCGAUUAUUUGUUACUUAUCAGUAAGGCAAAUUCUGGAGGGUUACUACUUUCAACUCUCUUCUUCAUAGUUUAAAAAACAAAAUUGACAAUGAACUGAUGAAGGCUCAGAGAAAAAAAGUGACUGAAUAAAGAAAAGAAAAAGGAGCUGGA
rnacentral:lncRNA from 1 species